rnacentral:lncRNA from 1 species
UCCUAAUUUCCAAGGUGUACAACGAUUAUUCAGAGAAGCAAGCCAAAACCCUAACAAUGCAUUUUCAAGAAACAGAGAAUAUUCAGCAUUACUUAAUAGAAGAAAAGAAAUAAUAAUCUAUACGCAUAUAUAGGGCAAGUUGAUUACACAUAAACUCGGGUAUGCAUAAAAACUUAAAAUAUGAGCUGAAUUGAAUUAUAUAGAACUAACUAACACGGUGGUGUCAUCAGUCAAAAUGGCUCUGGUGCUGGCGGUGGUGAUGUAUACGGUCAGCCAAUCCAAAGCACUGCAAAACAGGGUAACAAGCAGCGAACAAGCACCUCCAACCAUACUGCCUGCAAAUUAAACAGGGACAGCAACAACAUGCCAGGAAUGGAUCAUCAUGUGGGCUAACCCUUUCUUGACGACGACCCAUCUCCUUUUUUUCACCCAAAUUUAAUUGAUAUCCAAAAACCAGUCGGCAAAAUUAAGACUACCCACCCCAGCCGGUAGAGAACGCCCACGUAGAGGUGGUUGGGGCCGGGGCGGGCUGAGAUCUCUAGCGGGGCGUGGUUAACUUUAGGCUAACCUUUCCCAUCUAAGGACAAGGCAGUUUUUUUGUAGAUACGAGGACACCUUUUAACUACGUGUUAAGGCCCUUGGAAACAU